GACGAACGCUGGCGGCGUGCUUAACACAUGCAAGUCGAACGGAAAGGCCCUGCUUUUGUGGGGUGCUCGAGUGGCGAACGGGUGAGUAACACGUGAGUAACCUGCCCUUGACUUUGGGAUAACUUCAGGAAACUGGGGCUAAUACCGGAUAGGAGCUCCUGCUGCAUGGUGGGGGUUGGAAAGUUUCGGCGGUUGGGGAUGGACUCGCGGCUUAUCAGCUUGUUGGUGGGGUAGUGGCUUACCAAGGCUUUGACGGGUAGCCGGCCUGAGAGGGUGACCGGCACAAUGGGGAUGGAGAUAGGGCAAGGCCCCAGAGGGGGGGAAGAGGGGGGAAAUCGGGAAAAGGGGGGGAGGGCGGGAAGAAAAACCGCGGGGGGGGGGAUGAGGGCUUGGGGUUUGUAAACCGUUUUCGCUGGGGAGAGAGGGUGAGUGAGGGUAAGGGGAAAAGAAGAACGGACAAAAAACGUG
rnacentral:rRNA from 1 species